AGCAGCCGCGGUAAUUCCAGCUCCAAUAGCGUAUAUUAAAGUUGUUGCAGUUAAAAAGCUCGUAGUUGAAUUUCGGGAUCAAGGAAUCGGUCAUGCCUUGGUAUGUACUGGUUUUAUUGGUUCUCACCUUCUAAAGAACCAUAAUGUCAUUCAUUUGAUGUUAUGGGGAAUUAGGACUGUUACCUUGAAAAAAUUAGAGUGUUUAAAGCAAGCUAACGCUUGAAUACAUUAGCAUGGAAUAAUGAAAUAGGACGUUCGAUCCUAUUUUGUUGGUUUCUAGGAUUGACGUAAUGAUUAAUAGGGAUAGUUGGGGGCAUUAGUAUUCAAUUGUCAGAGGUGAAAUUCUUGGAUUUAUUGAAGACUAACUACUGCGAAAGCAUUUGCCAAGGAUGUUUUCAUUAAUCAAGAACGAAAGUUAGGGGAUCGAAGACGAUCAGAUACCGUCGUAGUCUUAACCAUAAACUAUGCCGACUAGGGAUCGGAUGAUGUUAAUUUUUUAAUGUACUCA
rnacentral:rRNA from 1 species